rnacentral:rRNA from 1 species
GAUGAACGCUGGCGGCGUGCCUAAUACAUGCAAGUCGAACGGAGAUAUUGUAGCAAUACGGUAUCUUAGUGGCGAACGGGUGAGUAACGCGUUGGUGACCUGCCCCGAAGAGGGGGAUAACAGUCCGAAAGGAUUGCUAAUACCCCAUGUGGUCCUGGAUUUUAGAACUCCAUGACUAAAGGUGUAAAUCACUUCGGGAGGGGCCUGCGUCCCAUCAGCUAGUUGGUAAGGUAAUGGCUUACCAAGGCGACGACGGGUAGGGGACCUGAGAGGGUGGCCCCCCACAAUGGAACUGAAACACGGUCCAUACACCUACGGGUGGCAGCAGUAGGGAAUAUUAGUUAAUGUGCGAAAGCGCGAACUAGCAACGCCGCGUGUGCGAUGAAGGUCUUCGGAUCGUAAAGCACUUUUCGAGAAGAUGAGGAAGGACAGUACUCUCGGAAUAAGUCUCGGCUAACUACGUGCCAGCAGCCGCGGUAAAGAGUACA